UGCAGUCGAGCGGUAACAUUUCUAGCUUGCUAGAAGAUGACGAGCGGCGGACGGGUGAGUAAUGCUUGGGAAUAUGCCUUAUGGUGGGGGACAACAGUUGGAAACGACUGCUAAUACCGCAUAAUGUCUACGGACCAAAGGGGGGGAUCUUCGGACCUCUCGCCAUUUGAUUAGCCCAAGUGAGAUUAGCUAGUUGGUGAGGUAAUGGCUCACCAAGGCGACGAUCUCUAGCUGGUUUGAGAGGAUGAUCAGCCACACUGGGACUGAGACACGGCCCAGACUCCUACGGGAGGCAGCAGUGGGGAAUAUUGCACAAUGGGCGCAAGCCUGAUGCAGCCAUGCCGCGUGUGUGAAGAAGGCCUUCGGGUUGUAAAGCACUUUCAGUAAGGAGGAAAGGGAUGUAGUUAAUAACUGCAUUCUGUGACGUUACUUACAGAAGAAGCACCGGCUAACUUCGUGCCAGCAGCCGCGGUAAUACGAGGGGUGCAAGCGUUAAUCGGAAUUACUGGGCGUAAAGCGCACGCAGGCGGUUUGUUAAGCUAGAUGUGAAAGCCCCGGGCUCAACCUGGGAAUAGCAUUUAGAACUGGCAGACUAGAGUCUUGGAGAGGGGAGUGGAAUUUCUGGUGUA
rnacentral:rRNA from 1 species